rnacentral:rRNA from 1 species
GAGUUUGAUCGUGGCUCAGAUUGAACGCUGGCGGCAGGCCUAACACAUGCAAGUCGGGCGGUAGAGAGAAGCUUGCUUCUCUUGAGAGCGGCGGACGGGUGAGUAAUGCCUAGGAAUCUGCCUGGUAGUGGGGGAUAACGCUCGGAAACGGACGCUAAUACCGCAUACGUCCUACGGGAGAAAGCAGGGGACCUUCGGGCCUUGCGCUAUCAGAUGAGCCUAGGUCGGAUUAGCUAGUUGGUGAGGUAAUGGCUCACCAAGGCGACGAUCCGUAACUGGUCUGAGAGGAUGAUCAGUCACACUGGAACUGAGACACGGUCCAGACUCCUACGGGAGGCAGCAGUGGGGAAUAUUGGACAAUGGGCGAAAGCCUGAUCCAGCCAUGCCGCGUGUGUGAAGAAGGUCUUCGGAUUGUAAAGCACUUUAAGUUGGGAGGAAGGGCAGUAAAUUAAUAACUUUGCUGUUUUGACGUUACCGACAGAAUAAGCACCGGCUAACUCUGUGCCAGCCGCCG